GUGGGGAAUUUUGCGCAAUGGGCGAAAGCCUGACGCAGCAACGCCGCGUGAGUGAUGAAGGCCUUCGGGUCGUAAAGCUCUGUCAGAGGGGAAGAACCGCCGGGUGGCUAAUACCUGCCUGGUCUGACGGUACCCUCAAAGGAAGCACCGGCUAACUCCGUGCCAGCAGCCGCGGUAAUACGGAGGGUGCAAGCGUUGUUCGGAAUUAUUGGGCGUAAAGCGCGUGUAGGCGGUUUGUUAAGUCUGGUGUGAAAGCCCUGGGCUCAACCUGGGAAGUGCAUUGGAUACUGGCAAACUUGAGUACGGGAGAGGAUAGUGGAAUUUCGAGUGUAGGGGUGAAAUCCGUAGAUAUUCGAAGGAACACCGGUGGCGAAGGCGGCUAUCUGGACCGAUACUGACGCUGAGACGCGAAAGCGUGGGGAGCAAACAGGAUUAGAAACCCUGGUAGUCC
rnacentral:rRNA from 1 species